ACCAACCCAGCCGGACCACCAAUUUUGUCAAAUCAAAAAAUCAUCAGACAUUAUCUUAUAUUUUUGUAUCUUGCCAUUAAACUUUGUAGUUGUUUGUUAAACAUAAAUAGAUUUAGAGGAAGAUUCUAAGAUGGCCAAAUAAGAGGCAGCUCCGGAAAGCAGCUCCCAGCGAGAGAGACUCAGAAGCCAAGUGGUCUCCAGAAUUCCAAACGAGUCUUGACUUCCUCAGUUCCCUGCAGUGUAUUCCUCAAAAACGAACCUCAGAAAAUCCUCUGUUAUGAUUUCUAUCUCAGAUUUUGCUUCUGGAGACACAUUUCAAGACAGCCUCUACAAAGGCUUCACAGAACAAGAAGACAUGAAGAAGGAGGAUGGACAGGGUGCUACUUUCUGUUCACCAGCUGCACUCUACUUACUACAGACCUGCCUAUGCUGGAUGUUAUUGAGACAAAUGGCUAAUGAGUACGGAGCCACAGCAUUAACCUCCAGUGCCUACAUAAGCCAUAAGAUGAGUAAGGAAACAGAAAUGAAACAGCAAGAAAAAAAAAAGGAAAAAGAGAAGAAUUGAGGCUGGAAACACCAUGGCUUAUAUGAAGAAGAGAAAUAAUGCCAGGAUAUAUGAAGUAUGGCAAAUGGUGUAAAUAAGAGGAGGCUGCAGGGGGAGAGUAGAUCAAAAUACUAUAAAAUUUCAUCAGUAAGCAAGAUUAGCCUGUUAUCCUAAUAAAGAUGGAAAG